UAGCAGUGAGGAAUAUUGGUCAAUAGCCUAACGGCUGAACCAGCAAUUUGGGGGAAUGUAUAGCGAAAGCUAGUUGUAUUAACUAUUAGUUAAUGCAAGAUCGAUUAUGUCGACUAAAGUUCUAGGUAGAAUAAUGAUGAUGACAAUUUUCUACCUAUAUGUCUUGACCAAGUCUCGUGCCAGCAGUCGCGGUAAUACGUGGAAGACUAGUGUUAUUCAUCUUUAAUAGGUUUAAAGGGUACCUAGACGGUAUUUCUAGCCCAAAAUAGGGUACGGAUUUACUAGAGUUUUAUGUGAGGAGGGGAGUACUCGUGGAGUAGAGAUGAAAUUUUGUGAUACUACGAGGAAACUGGUGGCGGCGAAAGCAACCUUCUAUGUAUAAACUGACGUUGAGGGACGAAGGCUUGGGUAGCAAAUAGGAUUAGAUACCCUAGUAGUCCAAGCAGACAAUUCUGAAUGCCAUAGAUUAGAUUUUUUUUUGGUCUAUAAAUGAAAGUGUAAGCAUUCCACCUUAAGAGUAAUGUGGCAACACAGGAACUGAAAUCAUUAGACCGUUUCUGAAACCAGUAGUGAAGUAUGUUAUUUAAUUUGUUGGUCCUCAAAAAACCUUACCACAACUUGAAUAUUAUUCAAUUAAUACAAGCGUUGCACGGCUGUCUUCAGUUAAUGUCGUGAGAUUUUGGUUAACUCCAUUAAUUAACGUAAACCCUUACUUUAUUUAUUUUUUUUAUAAAGUAGAUCGCCACUAUAUUGGAUAUGAUAAGAGGACUAAGAC
rnacentral:rRNA from 1 species